rnacentral:tRNA from 1 species
GGAGAGGUGGCAGAGCUGGAUUAUCGCACCAGUCCUGAAAACUGGCAACCGUCAGUGAUGGCGGUUCGUGGGUUCGAAUCCCACCCUCUUCG